rnacentral:lncRNA from 1 species
UAAAUGAAAAUUUGGGAGAGUUUAUUCUGAGCUAAAAUCUGAGGACCAUGGCCUGUGGCGUUUCUUCCCGAAGGAAGAAAGGGCACCAAAGAAGUGAGGUAUACAGAGUGGUUAUAUAUCCCCAAACGGGAUGUUUCACACGAUUGAAAUGUCCCUCCCACAAUAGUCAUGAGACUGCUCUGUCAGCACAGUGUUUGAUGGACACAGCAGGUAGUGGGUCUGCUAUCUCGGCGGAUGCAGCAGGAAGCAAGUCUGUUGUCUCGAGCUGGGUGGUCACAGGUGAGGGCAGCAAUCAGUUCCUAGCCCAAGGAAAGGUGCUUAAUCCUUUAGGAAAUGCCAACGUUGGGAGGGAGAGGGAAGUUGCACCUUUAUCUCAAGGGCCUUUGCCAUAGGGAAUGUCUAAAGCAGAUAUACAAUGCAUGCUCAACGGCCACGGUCAGGCCCUUUUGGAAAGACAAGGUCAGGCCGAAUUAGGUUUACACCAAAUGGCUUCCUCAUAUUCUCCAAUAUAUCCUAUUGCUUGCCAUUUCUAUUUGUCAAUAGACACAUAAACAGCUUAGAGUAUCCUCCUCGUCUCACCAGAUUGCUGCCACUAAGACCUUUCUACAUUCUGGAGGCCCAGCUGCCAGGCCCCAGCUUCUUCCCAGGGCCCUACAACCUCUAGGGCUGUGCCCUGAACAGAAGAGGCACAGCUCUCCACCAUUUAAGGGUGCCUCCCCUUUAUUGUCCUCCCUGAUUGUAGGAUUCGAUGCUCUCCCUGAUCCAGGAAGACCCACCUUCUCUCCACCCAUCCCCACCCCAUCCUCUGGGGCACCUUUAGCUUAAUUCCUUCUUGUGCCUGAUCCCUGAAUUGUAGAGAAGCCAUUAGCUAAGGGCUCCCCCCAUGACCUCCCGGGCACCCCCACAAGACAAAACCAGGAGCCACUGAACACAAAGCCUUAGCUGAUUUGUGGGGCUUGGUGGCCAGUGAAGAGGAACAGAAAAUUUUUUUUCCUAUAGCAGGAAGGAAAAUAAACCUCAUUCUAUUAUCAUGCCUGAAAUUCUGUCACUGGAGAGUCACUCCUUUGGGUGGGAUAUUGCUGUCUCUAAGGGAUCCAAGAUGUUGUCACCCCUUGGGAGAGGUGACAAAGUAUUGCCGCACCUUAGAGUACAGGGUUCAUCUGACACUGCCACAGUGGCAGGUGGGAGAAUACGGGUGGGGACCGUGGGCAGGCCUGGUUCUGCCCCACUUUACAAUCAGGUCCAGUGCUGGCUUUCUGGUUGGCUGUCUCAGGUGCCGCUGACCUGGAAGCCUCCUCUUUCUGUUGAAGACAAGCUUGCAAAUUUCCUGUGGUUUGUUAGGGCUGAGCCACCACAGCCUAGGCAGGUAGCCAGGUGGGAUGAUUAGCUCGGAUAUCAAACCCCGGGGAAUUACUGCUGUUUUGUAGGAAACAAAGACCCACAAGACCGAGUUUAGAACAAGGAGGAAAUCAGAACACAGGUUCAUGUAUCUGGCAGAGGCACUGAGGGCAGCAGCCUCUUUGAGUACCCCUGGGGUGAGGGGUGGAGGUGACUUCGUUAAACUCACCCUGUCACGGGCAAGCACUGAGACCAAGUUCCCCCCAGGACUGCCAAGAACCACUGGGCAGCUCUCCGGUCCCCUCUGGCUGGGAAUCAGGUUCCUUCACUUGCUAUCAGUGUGACCUGGGCACUUAACUCACGUUCUGUGCCUUGGUUUUCCUGUGCCUAAAAUGGGGAUAACAGACCCACUCCAGAGGGGUGUUUGGGGAUUCCUCGGUGUAUUUAAAGCUCUUAGAAGAGUUCCUGGCACACGGUGAGUGUUAUGUAAAUGUUAACUGUUGUAGUUAUUGUUGUUGCUGUCUAAAGCCAGGUGCAUCCCGGAGCCAGGAGCCUCAGGCAACCCUCUGUGGCUGCAACUAAAAACAAUUAUUUACACUUGCUCCCAGCUUGCCUGGGGCUAUGAUGAGAUAAUGGCUGUAAACGCUCCGCCUUUCCUGGGGAUGGGCAGCAUCACCAAAGAACCCUGGUAACAGAAACUUUUACGUGUGGCCUCUGCAGCCUAAGUGGACCCUGCCCCUGGGUGGCUGAAACAUCCCCUUCACGGCCAUGCUUUGAGGGGAUCUGAAAGGCUUUCUGGUCCCAACACCUCUCAUCACAGCCUUGCCUCAAUGUCCGAAACUGUCUCCAGUGCUUCCAGAAGUUCUGAAGAGCGAAGCCAGCCUGCAGCCAGACUGAAUCCUGACUCUACUCGCUAGCUGAGAAUCUUGGAGAAGUUACUGAAUUUCUGUACCUCAGCGCACUCAUCUGUGAAAGUUCACCUAGGUUUAUGCCCUUCCCAGUGGAGUGCUACAGGACCACAUACAUUUCUGUCUGAAAUCUUGAUGAAAAGGGAUCUGGGAUGACCCUCCUAAGAGGCUCAAAUCCUCCUUGAAAUCUAGACUAGCCCUGAGCUAACAUCCGUGCCCAUCUUCCUCUACUUUAUAUGUGGAACACCUACAACAGCAUGGCUUGCCAAGUGGUGCCAUGUCCACACCCAGAAUCCAAACCAGCGAACCCCAGGCCGCUGAAGUGGAAUGUGGGAACUUAACCACUGCGCCACCGGGCCAGCCCCCAGUUAAUCACUUUUAUGGAAUAAUAAAAGGUGCAUAAAAUGUCAGUGCUGCCCUGCCCAGAAACCCCUCCCCAGCAUGGAGUGUUACUGAAACAGCUUUCAUUCAGUUUAGGAGUCACCCUACCAAGCUGGUAUGACAUGAAUUAAGAAGGUGAGCUGCAAAGGAAGAAGCUGAGAGCUGCUUAUUUCAAGAUAGUUGUCUCUAAGCCCAGCCAACAGAACAAGGCGCCAAGGGAUAAAAGUUAAGUAGGAUGAGAUCUGCAAUAAAGCCAAAGAUGUGGGUUCUAUUUCUGAUUUUGUUAUCAUUUUGACCUUUUAGAAUGCAGAAGAAAUGAAAAUGUUUGUCUUAUAUCGACCUGCCCAGGAUGUAAUAGAGAAGAACAAGACUCAAGCAGAGAAAUGGAGACUUCCCUUAAGAAAUGCAUUAACUAAAUGUCAGCUAUACCCACUUCCUAAUGUGGUUCACUGGGAUGUCAGUGAAGGAAAUCAUGGCAGCUACUUCUGAAUUUAUUGAUCCCAAUUUUGGAAAGAGUUUCCAAGAGAAAAGGACAGCCAGUGUCACAAGUUGGCCAUCUAUUUGCAUCUGGAAAGUUGGAAGCUAUCUAGCUUGCUGGCCUGCUUGACUGUACCACGUGACAUGGAUAAUAGCGACGCUCUGGCAACACAGGAUGGUUCAAUUCUCAGUCAAUAUUCACUGAGCCCACACAACUGCCCAGGCAUCAUAGAAAGAGUUGGCACAGUCCUAGCCUUUGAUGGAUUUGUAAUCUAAAGUUACAUUUAAAAGAAGAACUUAAAAAUAUGCAGGUUAAUUCUACUCCCUAAAUAUUUAUUGAUUGUCAUUAACUUGGACCAUUAAACAGCUAUCUUUUUGAAAACCGUCUCUCUCUGCCCUCACUAAUGGAGUGUUCUCCAUAAUAGGCUUUUUCUCUUUCAUAAAUGUUCUUCUAUGGCUUUUCCCUUUAAACUAAACUAAGGAAAUAUUAUCAUAACUGAAAUCUUUC